rnacentral:rRNA from 2 species
GUGGAAAGCUCCGGCGGUGCAGGAUGAGCCCGCGGCCUAUCAGCUUGUUGGUGGGGUAAUGGCCUACCAAGGCGACGACGGGUAGCCGGCCUGAGAGGGCGACCGGCCACACUGGGACUGAGACACGGCCCAGACUCCUACGGGAGGCAGCAGUGGGGAAUAUUGCACAAUGGGCGAAAGCCUGAUGCAGCGACGCCGCGUGAGGGAUGACGGCCUUCGGGUUGUAAACCUCUUUCAGCAGGGAAGAAGCGAAAGUGACGGUACCUGCAGAAGAAGCGCCGGCUAACUACGUGCCAGCAGCCGCGGUAAUACGUAGGGCGCAAGCGUUGUCCGGAAUUAUUGGGCGUAAAGAGCUCGUAGGCGGCUUGUCGCGUCGGAUGUGAAAGCCCGGGGCUUAACCCCGGGUCUGCAUUCGAUACGGGCAGGCUAGAGUUCGGUAGGGGAGAUCGGAAUUCCUGGUGUAGCGGUGAAAUGCGCAGAUAUCAGGAGGAACACCGGUGGCGAAGGCGGAUCUCUGGGCCGAUACUGACGCUGAGGAGCGAAAGCGUGGGGAGCGAACAGGAUUAGAUACCCUGGUAGUCCACGCCGUAAACGUUGGGAACUAGGUGUGGGCGACAUUCCACGUCGUCCGUGCCGCAGC